UACGGGGGGAGCAAGCGUUGUUCGGGUUCACUGGGCGUAAAGGGUGCGCAGGCGGCCAAGUGUGUGAGGCGUGAAAGCCCGGGGCUUAACCCCGGAAUUGCACCUCAAACUACAUGGCUAGAGCAUUGGAGAGGGUAGCGGAAUUCACGGUGUAGCAGUGAAAUGCGUAGAUAUCGUGAGGAACACCAGAGGCGAAGGCGGCUACCUGGACAAUUGCUGACGCUCAGGCACGAAAGCGUGGGGAGCAAAAGGG
rnacentral:rRNA from 1 species